rnacentral:rRNA from 1 species
UACGUAGGGGCCGAGCGUUGUCCGGAGUUACUGGGCGUAAAGCGCGCGCAGGCGGCUCGUCAAGCCUGACGUGAAAGCCCCCGGCUCAACCGGGGAGGGUCGUCGGGGACUGGCGGGCUUGAGGUCGGCAGGGGUUGGUGGAAUUCCCGGUGUAGUGGUGAAAUGCGUAGAGAUCGGGAGGAAGGCCGGUGGCGAAGGCGGCGCUCUGGAACAUUUCUGACGCUGAGGCGCGAAAGCCAGGGGAGCAAACGGG